rnacentral:ribozyme from 1 species
ACUCGACUGGGCGAGUAUAAAUAGUUGUUAAGCCUAGUGCGUCAUUAUAAAAUGGGUCAAC